CCUACGGGUGGCAGCAGUGGGGAAUAUUGCACAAUGGGGGAAACCCUGAUGCAGCGACGCCGCGUGAGUGAAGAAGUAUUUCGGUAUGUAAAGCUCUAUCAGCAGGAACGAGACAAGACGGUACCUGACUAAGAAGCCCCGGCUAACUACGUGCCAGCAGCCGCGGGAAUACGUAGGGGGCAAGCGUUAUCCGGAAUCACUGGGUGUAAAGGGAGGGUAGACGGCUGAGCAAGCCUGAGGUGAAAGGCGGGGGCCCAACCCCCGGACUGCUUUGGGAACUGUACGGCUGGAGUGCAGGAGAGGUAAGUGGAAUUCCUGGUGUAGCGGUGAGAUGCGUAGAGAUUAGGAGGAACACUAGUGGCGAAGGCGGCCUACUGGACUGUAACUGACGUUGAGGCUCGAAAGCGUGGGGAGCAAACAGGAUUAGAUACCCCUGUAGUC
rnacentral:rRNA from 1 species